GGGAAUGUGGCUUAGUGGUAGAGUGCUUGCCUACCACGCAUGAAGUCCUGGGUUCAAUUCCUCAGUACCA
rnacentral:tRNA from 1 species